UACGGGGGGGGUAAGCGUUGUUCGGAAUUACUGGGCGUAAAGCGCGUGUAGGCGGUGCGGUAAGUCGGGUGUGAAAGCCCUGGGCUCAACCCAGGAAGUGCAUUCGAUACUACCGUACUAGAGUCCCGGAGAGGUUGGUGGAACUCUCGGUGUAGAGGUGAAAUUCGUAGAUAUCGAGAAGAACACCGGUGGCGAAGGCGGCCAACUGGACGGUGACUGACGCUGAGACGCGAAAGCGUGGGGAGCAAACAGG
rnacentral:rRNA from 1 species